rnacentral:rRNA from 1 species
UACGUAGGGGGGCUAGCGUUGUCCGGAUUUAUUGGGCGUAAAGAGCGUGUAGGCGGCCAGGUAGGUCUGCUGUGAAAACUCGAGGCUCAACCUCGAGACGUCGGCGGAAACCAUCUGGCUAGAGUCCGGAAGAGGAGAGUGGAAUUCCUCGGUGUAGCGGUGAAAUGCGCAGAUAUCAGGAAGAACACCCGUGGCGAAGGCGGCUCUCUGGGACGGUACUGACGCUGAGACGCGAAAGCGUGGGGAGCAAACAGG